GCUCCUCCCUCCCCCCCCGGAAAAAGCUCGAUGCGCCCCUAAAAAAAAACUCGAUGCGGUCGGCGAGGUUGCGGGGCAGAGCCCAGCCAGCCGGCGGAGGCGACGCGGGCGGUAUGGUUGCGCCAUCCCGGUCGCGGACCAGCUCCGUGCGGUAGAGGUUGGUUGGGGCCUCCCGGACCGCACGCCGAUGUAGAUCGACGCCAAUCGUAGUUUGGCUACUCGGCUGUUCGUCGAGCGAAACUGCUCCGCGGUUUGAACGAAGCAAUCAUUCCUCGCUUUCGGGAGGAAUCCAUGGCGGAAUGCGGAUGAUGCGGCCCCCUUGCCGGCGGUGAUUAAUGUAUGUCUCUCUGUUUAACCACCCUUUGCUGCUUAGUUCACGACGCAUGUGUAUAUUCUUCCUCGCACUAUCUGGUUACUCCGGCAGCAGAACAUGAACAUCCAUCACCAUGGUUCUCGGCUAGUUCUGUACAGGCGGUAUUCAUACUGUUGUGGUCAAUUGAUUCGGCCAGAUCUUUGGAGAUUGGUUAUCAAAUUAUUUUUACUCUCUGGACAGCGAUUGAUGUUCCAAAUUGGCAUUCUUCAUCUGAACUGAGGUAUAAGGCGAGCCUCCAAAACAAGGGAACAGUACGUUGCCGAGUAACAUGUAUCAAAGAAGUGGAAUGGUUAGCUUCUCUACUUCUUCAAGAAUUUCUGAAAGGAUAUAAUAAACAGGUGCCAUGUUAUAAACUUCUGUUAUUGAUAUCCUUGCAAUCGUUCGCAGUGUGUUAGCCACCUUAUUCUACCAAUAUAUGUUCCAGAAUUAAUUGGACCAGUUUGUGUUUAGAAGAGUGUUCCUUUCCUAUCUGAUUGACUCCAUGAAUAUUUUUAAUGAAUAAGAUAUAAACAGCAAUGUACAUUUAUCUCUGAUGUAUAUUGCCAUCCAAAUAAAGGGCUGUUAAUUUUCAAUGUUGUUUAUACAAUGUGACUUUACAAUACAUUUAUCUCUGAUGCGAUGAAUGUCAACCUGAUGGGCAUAGGUCACAGGUUAGGUACUCUUGUACUACUACUGUAGGUUCUACUAUUUUACACACAACUAUCUAUGAACAUACUUGCACAUCCAUAUCUAAUAUUGUUGAUAUCCCUGGGGCCUAUAGACUAGCUAUAUGGUGCAUACUUGCUAACGAGUAUUGACUGCAAAGAGAGGGUCUGCAUAAUGUCAGAUAAACAUAUAGGUACAUGAUUGCUAAUUAUAUACUAUAUACAUGGUAUUAUAGCUUAUAGGUAGUGCACCUGCUAUGAUUGUUAGAAACCCAUUUCCUUUCCUGAAUAUGCAGGUUAGAGAAGCUCAUUUUCUGUUGUUUUAAGGCUCAUCCUCAGGUUCAUUACAUGAACCAGAUAGGUGCAAUAAUCUCCAUUACGAACAAUGAUUGCUGUGUUCGUGCUUUGGAAAUGGAUGCUACUGUAUCUUUCUACAGGGCUAUACACUUGAAACACUCUAAUUUGAACUAUUCAAAUUAUACCAAAUGAAUUCUAACUUCCUGGAAGAAAAAUUGCAUCUGUUAGAAAUAUCAAUGUGCUUCCUGCUCUAUGAGAUAGAUCAUUCCCACAUUUUGAAUGACUUCAUUUGAAAGAACUGGUUCCAAUAUCAGAUUACCCCCUCCCUUUUUAUGAAUGAACAUAUCUAAAACAUGAAACAUAAACUUUUAUUAAAGUAUAAUCCGUUCACAUCUUAUGUAUUUCUAGCGUUCAUCAAGAUAGAAGAGCGUUGCAAUGAGCACCAAGUCACCCCUUACUACCAUACUACUUACUCCAAAUCAAUUAAACUUUAAAUCAUUUUAUAACUUACAAAUAUAUGGGUUUUUUCAUGUAUAUUUAACUUACAAAUAUGUUUUGAAGAUGACAAAAACCCUGCUCAACAUGCUAGUCUCUCGAACAGGGUCCCUAAAUGGGUUGCUAAGCUUUAUACAAUGCAAGGUGCUUAGGGAGAUGCUUAUUUAGAGAAAUAAACGAGUGUUUUCUUAGGCAUUGGUGCUUAUUUGUGGAAGGUGGAUGCUUGAUUAGACACCCCUCAUGAAAAUAAGCAUUGAUGCUUAAGAGAUAACUCAGUUUAAUUUACUAAGCACCUUGCAUUGUACUCUCUCCAUAAAGAAAUAUAUGAGCGUUUAGAUCACUAAAGUAGCGAUCUAUAGGGAAUACAAGGCAGAAGAAAGCAUAGUAGGUGGCAUAAUCUUGGUUGAACAUAUACAAGUUUGACUUGCACAAAAAUCAAUAUAGCUUAUAUUUUGAAGCGAAGAGAGUAUACACGUAAGAUAUGAGCCAACGACUAAUCUACCCUGAUUUACAUAAGGUGUGGUAACCGAAAAUUGUACACAAUCUGCUCUCUGAAUCUAUUCGCCUAAACCUCUAAAACUACCUAGUGUCUACACCUUUAGUUAGAGCUCACGAGCUCGAAGGGGCAGGAUCCAUCCUAAAACGUAGCAGGACGUUUGCGCUUCCCAAGUACGCCCGGUUCGUCGCCCUCUAGUUCU